rnacentral:rRNA from 1 species
GAAUUGAAGAGUUUGAUCAUGGCUCAGAUUGAACGCUGGCGGCAGGCUUAACACAUGCAAGUCGAA